rnacentral:sRNA from 1 species
GUGAUAACCUUUUAGAUCAGAAUUUUAUUUUUAUCCAUGGAAAAGAUAGAUCCAGCAAUAGAGAAAGCUCUGUCACAGCAUCAGCUUCCUGCCAUUGUGCUUCAGCCCUGACCUGGAAGGAACACCUCAGGGGGCUGAGAGAGUAAUCCUGCCUCUAUUUAUUCAGUUAUUCUUACUUCU